rnacentral:rRNA from 1 species
GGGGAAUAUUGCACAAUGGGCGAAAGCCUGAUGCAGCAACGCCGCGUGAGUGAUGAAGGUCUUCGGAUUGUAAAGCUCUGUCUUUUGGGACGAUAAUGACGGUACCAAAGGAGGAAGCCACGGCUAACUACGUGCCAGCAGCCGCGGUAAUACGUAGGUGGCGAGCGUUGUCCGGAUUUACUGGGCGUAAAGGGUGCGUAGGCGGAUGUUUAAGUGAGAUGUGAAAUACCCGGGCUUAACUUGGGUGCUGCAUUUCAAACUGGAUAUCUAGAGUGCAGGAGAGGAGAAUGGAAUUCCUAGUGUAGCGGUGAAAUGCGUAGAGAUUAGGAAGAACACCAGUGGCGAAGGCGAUUCUCUGGACUGUAACUGACGCUGAGGCACGAAAGCGUGGGUAGCAAACAGGAUUAGAUACCCUGGUAGUCCACGCCGUAAACGAUGAGUACUAGGUGUAGGAGGUAUCGACCCCUUCUGUGCCGCAGUAAACACAUUAAGUACUCCGCCUGGGAAGUACGAUCGCAAGAUUAAA